AGAUAAUUUCAAAAAGAGCUUGUUGGACCAAAACCAGGGGCUCUUAAUGCUGUGACCAAAGAUUGAAGUUCUCCAUAGAAUGUAAGUCACUCAAUAGUGCUAUGUUUUCCUGAGGAGAUACAAAA
ensembl:snoRNA